GGGGGCGUAACGGUUUCGACGGGGAUUGUGAAGUGCGAUAAGCGAGCAGAGUUUGCCAGAUCUCUCCAAAAUCAGGCACGUUUAAAAUUAAACGCUAAAAAUAACAUUUCUGUAAGCUUUAACAAGAGCGUACAGGUAGCUGCCUAAGUCAGCUACUGUCCAUUGCAGGACUACCACGACCUGCUCUUGGGCAUCAUCGUAGUGGUGAACGUUUCGGCGGCAAUCCCACACCGCAGAAAUGUAUUUGGGAUACCUCCCCUUUCAGCCUGUUUGUCGGCGGUAAGCUGAGGGAAUUUUAAUAGAUAAACUACGCUCGUAGAAAGUUACAUGGAUCGGUUUUCGGACAGGAGUUCAAUUCUCCUCGCCUCCACCA
rnacentral:tmRNA from 1 species